AAAAACUAAUUAUUAUCGUCUUCGGAGGUGUGGCAAUGCAGCCGGCAGUUGCGGUUGAUGCCAAACGUCACUACGUCACCACCGGUCGGUAGCCCGCGCAAAAAGUUCACGUGAUCGCGAGCAUUUCUCUAGAAAAAAAUCUACGGUAAAUUAAAGUUCGGUAAAAAAAUGUAAAGUUUAAAAACGGCAAAAGUGGGUGACCACUUCUUUGAUGUACGAUAGGUGUCGAGUGUCCUCGUUAUACUUGUCUAUGCUCGUCAUUGAGCAAGUCACUAUUACGUAUACGUAAAAAUUUGAAUUCAUUAUUGCAAUAAUAAAUCAUUGCACACGAAAAACGAUUGUGAUCGUAGAUGGUCUGUCGACUGUCAGCCUAUAUUACUAUUUAUAUUUUUUUUAUACAUUUUUAUUCCUAUCAAAGUAAUUUAUUUUUCUAUUCGUAACACGGUAUCAAGAAUGGUCAAGUCUUUAACUAUGGGUGGGGGGGGGGGAUCAAGUCGUUUUCAAGUAAACUUCAUGACUGAUUAAAAUAUGUUUCCAGUUGUUUUAUCCGAUUACUCGAUACAAUAUUAAAUUGGCGGAUGGUAGAUCUAUAUUUUGGAAGAAAACUCAACCAGUAUCAAAUUUUGGAACACAUACAUAAUAAUAUGUCGGCAACAUCAACAUCAACGGUAAUGCGAAAAACAUAUCCAUCGACAGACUGAAACCUGUAUUCCUACCACAAGAAGACACAAUUCAACAUGACCACUCCUACGCAGUGAAGGCGAAACUUAAUAAAUCAGUUGUAAAGUGACGCCCGAGUGUUAUGGUCAUAUCACACAUUUCCUGUCAUAUUUAGCCAAUGGUAAAGUCAAACUACCUUUAGAAGGAGGUAACAAUAUAGAUGCGGUUUCAUAUUGUAUGACGAAAACAUUAUUUGAAGAUCCUGUAGCGUACCAUGACUCUACGGACUAAUAUUAUAUUAUAAUCCUUUAAUUGAUUCUACAGACCACUAACUGGACCACUCUAAAUUUACCUAUUAACUAAAAUAUAAUUCAUUUAAGUAACAUUUGACAUUCAAAUAUACUAAUUGAACCACUAAUGGUAAUAAUGGACUAUACGUUUAUAAAUACCUUGCACAAUGUAUAAACUAUUAUCUCAUUCAUAGGUAACAUUUUGGCAAACCAGUUGCCCUUCUAAUAAUAUUUCAUCUCUACGAAAACAACUACUCAAAAAUGACCUCACCCAAAGACACCUGCAAAAUCCACGUGCGAAAAAUUGAAUAUAGGUAGGCCAGGAACAAUGCAUAUUCAAAUGUACCAUAGCCGUUCUCAGCCACAUAGA